UGGGGAAUAUUGGACAAUGGGCGGAAGCCUGAUCCAGCAACGCCGCGUGAGGGAUGACGGCCUUCGGGUUGUAAACCUCUUUCAGUACCGACGAAGCGAAAGUGACGGUAGGUACAGAAGAAGGACCGGCCAACUACGUGCCAGCAGCCGCGGUAAUACGUAGGGUCCGAGCGUUGUCCGGAAUUAUUGGGCGUAAAGGGCUCGUAGGCGGUUUGUCGCGUCGGGAGUGAAAACAGCGGGGCUUAACUCGUUGCUUGCUUUCGAUACGGGCAGACUAGAGGUAUGCAGGGGAGAAUGGAAUUCCUGGUGUACGGUGAAAUGCGCAGAUAUCAGGAGGAACACCGGUGGCGAAGGCGGUUCUCUGGGCAUUACCUGACGCUGAGGAGCGAAAGUGUGGGGAGCGAACAGGAUUAGAUACCCUGGUAGUCCACACCGUAAACGUUGGGGCGCUAGGUGUGGGGUCCUUUCCACGGAUUCCGUGCCGUAGCUAACGCAUUAAGCGCCCCGCCUGGGGGAGUACGGCCGC
rnacentral:rRNA from 1 species